GGCUCCGUAGCUUGGAGGAAAGAAGCGCCCAUCGGGAGUCGUGGGUUCGAUUCCCACCGGAGCAC
rnacentral:tRNA from 1 species